ACAAAAGAGCAUUCAGUGGCUGGAUCUAA
rnacentral:piRNA from 1 species